UGGGGAAUCUUGGACAAUGGGCGCAAGCCUGAUCCAGCGACGCCGCGUGGGUGACGAAGGCCUUCGGGUUGUAAAGCCCUUUUCCCGGGGACGAUGAUGACGGUACCCGGGGAAUAAGCACCGGCUAACUCCGUGCCAGCAGCCGCGGUAAGACGGAGGGUGCUAGCGUUGUUCGGAAUGACUGGGCGUAAAGGGCGCGUAGGCGGCCGGUUGCGUCGGAUGUGAAAGCCCGGGGCUCAACCCUGGAACGGCAUCCGAUACGGGCUGGCUCGAGACCGAGAGAGGUGAGUGGAAUACCCAGUGUAGAGGUGAAAUUCGUAGAUAUUGGGUGGAACACCGGUGGCGAAAGCGGCUCACUGGCUCGGUUCUGACGCUGAGGCGCGAAAGCGUGGGGAGCGAAACAGGAUUAGAUACCCUGGUAGUCCACGCCCUAAACGAUGUGGGCUGGGCGUCGGGGGCUUGCCCUCGGUGCCGGAGCUAACGCGGUAAGCCCGACCGCCUGGGGAGUACGGCCGCAA
rnacentral:rRNA from 1 species